AUUCAUCUCCUCCUUCCAACUAGAGAGUGAGGAGUGUCCCGGGGAGAGUGGGACCUUGAGCUCCUCUGGGCCUUGCUUGGGACUUGGUCCAGGAGGUUAUGGGAAGAAACUGGUUUAGAAGCUGACCUCAUGGGUUCGCUAUUCUUAUGUAACACUUAGGAAGAGCAGAGACCCACGCGGUUCAGUCCCAGAGCAAUGUUGCGGUCAAGAGAACACAGUCCAGCUACCAACAGUUAUUUCAAAAUAAUUCAAGCUCUUUGUUUAUAUUUCUGAAAGAACGAAAGAAAGAAAGAAAAAAAAAAAGGGUGGCUCAGCUGGAAACUCGGUUUUAAGUCCCCUUUCAGGGGGCCCUCAGAUUCUGAAUAAAUGAAGCCGCACAGAAUCCACCUGGCAAAAACGGAAACUGCCUGGAGGCCAGGGCUGAGGGAAGGCCUGGAGCAGAGCCGGUGCGCGACCCCGCAGUGAGCAGGGAGGGCAGGCUGGGGACGUUCACCACCCAGAACGCCUCUGCUCCCCGCAACCCUGAGACUCCAGGCUCCCCUGUUCCUCCCUCCGGGAGACCCUGCCCGUCCUCCGGGAGACCCUGCCCGUCCUCCCCGCGGGGCUCCUUCGCAGUUCGGGGGAAGGGGCGGGUUGCGUCCUCGGGACCUUUCUCUGCAGCCACAGCAGCGCAUCCCAGCACCUCCUCCAUGAGCCCCGCCACCUCCUGCCACCCGGACUUUCCCCACAGCGCAGCGUCCCCUCGUCCUCUCAGGGCUGGAACAGCGGUACCCGCAGACAGUGCAAAAGGGAAGUCCCUGUUGCCUUCCCAUGCAAACUGUAGGGCGCUUACAGCUGCUGGGAGAGGAAAGCAAAGAAGAAAUACAAGCCUGUGACCCGGAUCCAGCCCGCGGCGCACAGACCCCGGCUCUGGGCACCCCUGGUGAGCGCCUUCUGCGCCAGAGCUCCGUACAGCACCAGCCCGCGCUCUCCCCCAGCUUCUGUUCAUUUGUUGCAGUCCUGACCGGUCAGUUGCCUGAGCAUCCAUGCUGCCAUCCAUACAAACCCAGGCACGCAGAGAUGUACAUCCUUUACCCAGGGUGACACCAUGUGGAGCUGAAUCCAAGUCGGGGAGUCUGAUGACCGUGUCUGGGCUCUGACCGCGCAGCCGUCUCACAGUGAAACAAAUUGCGGACUGGCCUUGUCCUGAGUGGCCUUAGGAAGCUGCAGUGGCCUGCAGUCUCCUGGCCAGUCUGUAGAAUUUGGCAAAGAGACACUGCGUUAUCACUGUCAAGGCAGCUUUGCAGAGAGCUCUACCAUCAAAGCCGCCAGGAAGACAGACCUCCACAGGAACCUGGGAGGGCCAGCAGCAUGGGGAGGGCCAUGUGUAAAGAAAGAAGGCUUGAAGGUGGCCACACAAGGCCAGGGCUCCCCACAGGACGGCAGGAGGUGUGGCACUGAGAACAGAUAUGGCCCAGUGGGAUGACAUGGCAGACUUCCCACCUGCCUAUAGUCCUGAGAAGCGACAUGGCUGACUUAGGGAGUUUAUUUUAGUUUGCUGUUGGGUGUCAGCUCCUCUAAGACACAAGCUGGUGCUGGCAAAGUAAAAGAAAGCUGGGCUAGCUUGAAAAGUGACUUGAUUAUAUCAACAUGUCUAAUGUCUCUUGUCUGCUUCUCCUUUGUCUGAGAGAUGGGGGAAAGCUGGGAGCAAAGCCAGUCUGUGUCACCUGCAUUUGAGCAGCAUGUGAGGCCUGCAGACAUUUCUCCUGCCAGCUGUCCUUUGGGUGGCAGAUGCGUUCCCCACAUUGCAGUGUGGCAUAGAUGGGGAGGCAGGGCUUUGAGCUCUCCCCUGUUUUCAACAUACACAUACUACACCUGCAAGGACUCA